rnacentral:rRNA from 1 species
AGCCCGCUCAGAACUCAAGGAAUUGACGGGGGCCCGCACAAGCGGUGGAGUAUGUGGUUUAAUUCGAUACAACGCGAAGAACCUUACCUGGUCUUGACAUCCCGGAGACCCUUAGGAAACUAGGGGGUGCUUCCAUCUGGAAGAAUCUGGAGACAGGUGCUGCAUGGCUGUCGUCAGCUCGUGUCGUGAGAUGUUGGGUUAAGUCCCGCAACGAGCGCAACCCUUGCCUUUAGUUGCCAGCAGUUCGGCUGGGCACUCUAAAGGGACUGCCGGUGUUAAACCGGAGGAAGGUGGGGAUGACGUCAAGUCCUCAUGGCCUUUAUGACCAGGGCUACACACGUACUACAAUGGCCGAUACAAAGGGCAGCGACACUGCGAGGUGAAGCCAAUCCCGUAAAAUCGGUCUCAGUCCGGAUUGGAGUCUGCAACUCGACUCCAUGAAGUUGGAAUCGCUAGUAAUCGUGGAUCAGCAUGCCACGGUGAAUACGUUCCCGGGCCUU